CGAAAUCAUAUUCAGCUAUACCAAGGAUUGCCAAGCAUAUGGUACUUACUGAGUUUCCUCCUCCCUUGGGAAUAAUCAACCAAGAAAAUGAAGAAAGGGAAAGUCGAGGCGAAAUAACCCAACUCUGUAGACUCUGGUUUCUUUAGUGGGUCGAAAUGAAACAACCCCCAAUCAACUACGUAUUAGUGUAUCGAAGUUAAACUCUUUACUUACAACUGAAAGUAACAUUUUUCCUCCCUUAAAAAUAAUAUUGUUUGUGUUCAAAACUAGAAAUAGUACUUUCUUGUUAAACCUCUUUCAUUGAUCCUAAAUUUACUGCUAAUCAAAUAAGUAUGGCAACUUUGCUUUUCACUUGCAAAGUUGGAGCUGUGAAAAAACACAGACUGAGAUCUGUCAUACAAAACACAAUCUGCCAAGGUGAGGGAAAGCGAAAAACUCAGUUCCACGAACCUAAAACCGCAGCCUAAAGGUGAGAGAAAGGACAUGCCUGUAAAUUCG
rnacentral:misc_RNA from 1 species